rnacentral:rRNA from 1 species
CUACGGGAGGCAGCAGUGGGGAAUAUUGGACAAUGGGGGAAACUCUGAUGCAGCAACGCCGCGUGGAGGAUGACACUUUUCGGAGCGUAAACUCCUUUUAUAUAGGAAGAAGAUGACGGUACUAUAUGAAUAAGCGCCGGCUAACUCCGUGCCAGCAGCCGCGGUAAUACGGAGGGCGCAAGCGUUACUCGGAAUCACUGGGCGUAAAGAGCGCGUAGGCGGAUUAAAAAGUCAGAAGUGAAAUCCUAUAGCUUAACUAUAGAACUGCUUCUGAAACUCUUAAUCUAGAAUAUGGGAGAGGUAGAUGGAAUUUCUGGUGUAGGGGUAAAAUCCGUAGAGAUCAGAAGGAAUACCGAUUGCGAAGGCGAUCUACUAGAACAUUAUUGACGCUGAGACGCGAAAGCGUGGGGAGCAAACAGGAUUAGAUACCCGCGUAGUC